rnacentral:rRNA from 1 species
UAACCUGCCCAAGAGAUCGGGAUAACACCUGGAAACANAUGCUAAUACCGGAUAACAACAGAUGAUGCCUAUCAACUGUUUAAAAGAUGGUUCUGCUAUCACUCUUGGAUGGACCUGCGGUGCAUUAGCUAGUUGGUAGGGUAACGGCCUACCAAGGCGAUGAUGCAUAGCCGAGUUGAGAGACUGAUCGGCCACAUUGGGACUGAGACACGGCCCAAACUCCUACGGGAGGCAGCAGAG